AGGAAGUAAAAUACACCCACAACAUUCAUCUGUUAUGUAAACAUGUACUGUACCAUAAUCCAGUGUAAGUGUGGUUCACAGUAGCUGGGCCUGGGGAAAGCAGGAACCUAUCUCUGCAUUCAUCCACUCGGCAGAUGAAUGGCAAGAUGUGUACAGGAGCUCCAAAGCAGCGACAGAAGUAGCCCAAUCCAGUACAAUGGCACAUGAAAAACCAGAUUUGCAAGUUUUGGAGGAGGAUGAAAGUGAAUCAUCAGAUGACUCAUGCAUGGAUGAUGAUGAUGAUGAUGACUUUGAUGUUGGCCAUGUGAGCCAAAGUUCCUGUAACAGUGAAAUGGAGUAAGAAUUGACCAAUGCAGACACAAGGAAUGCAGACUUCAUUGAUUCAGAUGAUGAAGAAAACAGCAAUAUGAGUACAUACUUGAUGAGUUAAAAUGGAAACUUCUUAAAGGUGAAGAUGUUGAAGAUCAGCUGAUCCAGAAGCUUGUACAUUUUUCUAUAAAGGGCCAG
ensembl:lncRNA